UGAGGAAUAUUGGGCAAUGCCCGCAAGGGUGACCCAGCAACGCCGCGUGGAGGAUGAAUGUCGUAAGAUUGUAAACUCCUGUUAGAGGGGAAGAAUAGUACCGGUUGGACCGGUAUAUGACUGUACCCUCAGAGAAAGCCCCGGCUAACUACGUGCCAGCAGCCGCGGUAAUACGUAGGGGGCAAGCGUUGUCCGGAUUUACUGGGUGUACAGGGCGCGCAGGCGGGAUAAAAAGUCAGUGGUGAAAUCCUACAGCUUAACUGUAGAACUGCCUUUGAUACUUUUAUUCUUGAGUUCGGGAGAGAGAGACGGAAUUCCAGGUGUAGUGGUGAAAUACGUAGAUAUCUGGAAGAACACCUGUUGCGAAGGCGGUCUCUUGGUCCGACACUGACGCUGAGGCGCGAAAGCGUGGGGAGCAAACA
rnacentral:rRNA from 1 species